UCCUUCCCACCACAGCCAGCAUUCAGAUUGGGAGAGUGGCGCAGGGGUAGCUGCUUUUGUGGCUUCGGAGGAACUCAGAUCUGCUGUAUUUUAAAAUCCACCACUCCUGGACUUGUCAACUAAAGAAUGAAGCAUUUUGGAAAAAAAUUCAGAUUCUAUACACCAAAUUUAUAAUGGUGACCACAUCACCACAAAAAGAAUCUUUACCCAAAAGAACUGAAGACGCCUUUUGGGUGGGAGGUGAAACGUCUUCAGGAACCAAGAGCAGAAAGCAGGUUGUGCUUCAGAAUGUCCUUUUCCUGCUGACCGAGAAUCUACACCAGCGCACCUCCAGAAAAAU